rnacentral:tRNA from 1 species
GCCGGAGUGGCGAAAUGGUAUACGCAGCGGAUUCAAAAUCCGCCACUCGCAAGGGUUUGAGAGUUCGAGUCUCUCCUCCGGCA